GACGAACGCUGGCGGCGUGCUUAACACAUGCAAGUCGAACGGAAAGGUCCGGCUUUUUUGCGGUGCUCUAGUGGCGAACGGGUGAGUAACACGUGAGUAACCUGCCCUUGACUUUGGGAUGACUUCAGGAAACUGGGUCUAAUACCGGAUAGGAGCUCCUGCUUCAUGGUGGGGGUUGGUAAGUUUCGGCGGUUGGGGAUGGACUCGCGGCGUAUCAGCUUGUUGGUGGGGUAGUGGCUUACCAAGGCUUUGACGGGUAGCCGGCCUGAGAGGGUGACCGGCCACAUUGGGACUGAGAUACGGCCCAGACUCCUACGGGAGGCAGCAGUGGGGAAUAUUGCACAAUGGGCGGAAGCCUGAUGCAGCAACGCCGCGUGCGGGAUGACGGCCUUCGGGUUGUAAACCGCUUUCGCCUGUGACGAAGCGUGAGUGACGGUAAUGGGUAAAGAAGCACCGGCUAACUACGUG
rnacentral:rRNA from 1 species